rnacentral:rRNA from 1 species
AUGGUUGCCGUGGCGGCCGAGGGCCCGAUCCGCGCCGACGCCGUGCCGGCGGCGGCCGGGGCCGGCGCGGAGAGGGCCGAUGCGGCGGCCGCGGGCGGGGCGGCGGCGGCCAAGGCCAGGGAGGACGAGGUCAGGGAGUACAAGAGUGACGUGAGGAAGCUGGAGGAGCUGUUCAAGAAGCUGAACCCCUCCGCGGAGGAGUUCGUGCCGCUCUCCCGCCGCCAGGGGGACGGCGCACGCCGCCUGUCGGCCGACGCGCCCGUCUUCGUCUCGCCCGCGAUCGACUACUAUGCGCCCCACCACCCGUUCCAGCAUCAGCAGAUGCACGUGCUGCAGGUGGUCGGUGGCGGGGGCGGAGCGGGUAGAGACUCCAGCAGCGACGGAUCCGCCAACGGCCAGCCGAAUCGACGGAGAAGGAAUGGCUUCAACCAGGGGAGACGUAGGAUGGGAGUUCGGCCAAGGCGAACUGAUAGGGAGGAUAGUGUACGGCGAACUGUCUAUGUCUCAGACAUUGAUCAACAUGUCACUGAACAGAAGCUUGCUGAGGUUUUCUCAAACUGUGGUCAAGUGGUAGAUUGCCGUAUCUGUGGUGAUCCAAACUCAGUGAUGCGUUUUGCUUUUAUCGAGUUCGCCGAUGAUGUCGGUGCAAGAGCAGCUCUAACGCUUGGUGGAACCAUUCUUGGUUUUUAUCCUGUCAGAGUUCUGCCAUCUAAGACUGCAAUUUUGCCUGUGAACCCCAAAUUUCUUCCUCGAACAGAGGACGAGAAAGAAAUGGUAUCCAGGACUGUGUACUGUACUAACAUUGACAAAAAUGUUCCAGAGGAUGUUGUGAAGAAUUUCUUUGAGGGAAUUUGUGGGGAGGUUGCUCGACUGAGGCUGCUUGGUGAUUACGUGCAUGCCACGUGCAUUGCCUUUGUUGAGUUUGUUCAGGCAGAAGGAGCAAUUUUGGCCCUGAACUGCAGUGGCAUGCUUCUUGGCUCGCUUCCUGUCAGGGUGAGCCCAUCCAAGACCCCAGUCCGCCCCCGUUCGCCUCGUGCGAUGUCGCACUGA